CAACAGGGCAGGUGUUUUUCUGAAGGCAAUUAAUGUAUGGAAAGCUGAGAAAACUUUACUUUGGUUGAAGUGUUUGGUCUAAGAAGGUUCCAGAAAAACGGCAGUAUUGCUUUGUCGAGUGAAACUCCGGAGUCAGGGCAGAGGAGCACAGAAAGUGAGAGGAGAGAGGCCUCUACUGGAAAGAGGUAAAACUGGGAUCAACACAGCUGAAGAGCAUGAUGCCGGUACACAUGUGGAGGACUGUGGCAACUUCAUCUGGAAGGACUACAACCACCUCUUCAUACAGAUAAGGGGAAAAAUCAUAUACGACUAUGAAUCAUUUUUCUUGUUACUUGUUUUUGUCUAUGCCAUUCAUGAUCCCUGGUUCAUUUGUAUUUUUAAUGAGACAAUUUGCCAUGGAGCUUGAGUAAGUUGACAAAAAUUAUACAUAAACACAAAAUAUAUGUCAUAUGUGUCACUGUUGGCAUAGACCCCCUCUCAUAACCAAACACAGGUCUGCUUUGAAGGUAGCCAUGGCUUCAGGUGUUCUACCUCCAGGUCUAAUCAAUUUAUAAUUGACCGUUUUAGUUACACUAUUAUUUUUUCAAAGUUAAAUUAAAAAAUUACAAAAAAUGGUAUUUAAAUGGCAUUUAUAAGUAAU